GAUGAACGCUAGCGGGAGGCCUAACACAUGCAAGCCGAGCGGUAUUUGUCCUUCGGGACAGAGAGAGUGGCGUACGGGUGCGGAACACGUGUGCAACCUACCUUUAUCAGGGGGAUAGCCUUUCGAAAGGAAGAUUAAUACCCCAUAAUAUAAACCAAGGCAUCUUGAUUUAUUGAAAACUCUGGUGGAUAGAGAUGGGCACGCGCAAGAUUAGAUAGUUGGCAGGGUAACGGCCUACCAAGUCAGUGAUCUUUAGGGGGCCUGAGAGGGUGAUCCCCCACACUGGUACUGAGACACGGACCAGACUCCUACGGGAGGCAGCAGUGAGGAAUAUUGGACAAUGGGUGAGAGCCUGAUCCAGCCAUCCCGCGUGAAGGACGACGGCCCUAUGGGUUGUAAACUUCUUUUGUAUAGGGAUAAACCUACUCUCGUGAGAGUAGCUGAAGGUACUAUACGAAUAAGCACCGGCUAACUCCGUGCCAGCAGCCGCGGUAAUACGGAGGGUGCAAGCGUUAUCCGGAUUUAUUGGGUUUAAAGGGUCCGUAGGCGGGCUUGUAAGUCAGUGGUGAAAUCUCAUAGCUUAACUAUGAAACUGCCAUUGAUACUGCAGGUCUUGAGUAAAGUAGAAGUGGCUGGAAUAAGUAGUGUAGCGGUGAAAUGCAUAGAUAUUACUUAGAACACCAAUUGCGAAGGCAGGUCACUAUGUUUUAACUGACGCUGAUGGACGAAAGCGUGGGGAGCGAACAGGAUUAGAUACCCUGGUAGUCCACGCCGUAAACGAUGCUAACUCGUUUUUGGGCUUUCGGGUUCAGAGACUAAGCGAAAGUGAUAAGUUAGCCACCUGGGGAGUACGUUCGCAAGAAUGAAACUCAAAGGAAUUGACGGGGGCCCGCACAAGCGGUGGAUUAUGUGGUUUAAUUCGAUGAUACGCGAGGAACCUUACCAAGGCUUAAAUGGGAAUUGACAGGUUUAGAAAUAGACUUUUCUUCGGACAAUUUUCAAGGUGCUGCAUGGUUGUCGUCAGCUCGUGCCGUGAGGUGUUAGGUUAAGUCCUGCAACGAGCGCAACCCCUGUCACUAGUUGCCAUCAUUCAGUUGGGGACUCUAGUGAGACUGCCUACGCAAGUAGAGAGGAAGGUGGGGAUGACGUCAAAUCAUCACGGCCCUUACGCCUUGGGCCACACACGUAAUACAAUGGCCGGUACAGAGGGCAGCUACCUAGCGAUAGGAUGCGAAUCUCGAAAGCCGGUCUCAGUUCGGAUUGGAGUCUGCAACUCGACUCUAUGAAGCUGGAAUCGCUAGUAAUCGCAUAUCAGCCAUGAUGCGGUGAAUACGUUCCCGGGCCU
rnacentral:rRNA from 1 species